UUACUGGUAGGUUAUUUUUAAACUGGCAAAUUGUGGUUUUGUUGAUUACAGUAUUUUCUUUUGUAUCAGUAAA
rnacentral:tRNA from 1 species